AAUUUGGACACAGACAUGCAUAUAGGGAGAACACCAUGUGAAGAUGAAGGUAGAGAUCAGGGUGAUGCUUCUGCAAGCUAAGGAACAUCAAAGAUUGCCAGCAAUCUUAAUUGCACCUUUUGAGUUACAUGUUUCCCAUGCAUGUAGUGGGGUAUGAGCUUCUUUUAAGGAGCCCUAUUCUAGGCAGCCUAAAAAUGAGAGGCUGGCUCAGAAGAUGAAAAAGCUGAGUCAGACCUAAGGAAAAACUUUCUUUCAGAACUUGUCUUCCUGGUCUUUUCUUGGACUUAGUUUUCUCUCUUUCUCCUUUUUUUUUUUUUUUUUUGGAGUGAAAUAGUCACAUUUAAAUAGCUGACAUUCUAUAUCAGCCUAGAAGAAAAGGACCAAAGAAAUAGCACACUGCCUUUAUUGCUUCAAGUUUCUUGCAGGUCCAUCUCAUCCAGCCUCAUUUACCAGGAGACUGCAUUGAGGUUUGAGGGAAAAUGCUCACCAAAUAUUGAAAAGCAGUUAUGUGCUUGGCAUUGUCCUAAACAUUUCUGUUUCUCUCAUGAUCUUGAAUUAAACUUCACAAUGAGUCAAGGAAUGUGGAGAUUCCCAGUCUUCACUGCACAUCAUAUGAUCCUAAUUCGGUGUAUUUCUUGGGUUCUGUCAUGAUUUCUUUUUUCCCAUUAAUUUUUUCAUGUCUGUAUUACUUAACUCCACUUUCUCUGUGUGUAAUAGUGAAUCUCCUCAUUUUGUCACUGGUGAUGCCAUUGUUUAGGUACUGCUCUCUUUCCAUAAAUUACUGUUAUGUAUUUUUUUCACAAAAAUACAAAGUGAAAUCUUUUUUUGUUUGUGUGUUUUUAUCUAUAAAAAGGGAAUGGAAAACGGACCAGAGUGCUCACUGUGAUGCUUACAGGCAUAAUAAAAUGUUGUCAAAGCCUGUUUAAUCCCUGCAGCAAUUAAAUACAGUUUCAGGAUGACAACGGGGCUUUUGGCAUAAUCCUUUAGCACUUUUGGUGCUGCAGAUACGUUAUCGGAAAACCAACAUCUUAGAAAGAAAGAAUGUUGAAAGUUGUGUUCUAUGCAAACCUGAGAUAAAACCAGACUAUAUGAAGGUUUAUAAAUAAAAUACAUGUCUGUAUUUGAUUUUAUUGUGCUUUUUACUAUUUAAUAUCCAAUUACUUAUGUUCGUCAUUAGAUUGAUGUUUCCAUACUGAACUGUUUUUUUUUGUUGUUGUUGUUUUUUUUUUUUUUUGAGACGGAGCCUUGCCCUGUCGCCCAGGCUGGAGUGCAAUGGCGUGAUCUCGGCUCACUGCAAGCUCUGCCUCCCGGGUUCAUGCCAUUCUCCUGCCUCAGCCUCCUGAGUAGCUGGGACUACAGGUGCCCACCACCAUGCCCAGCUAAUUUUUUGUAUUUUUUUAGUAGGUACGGAGUUUCACCGUGUUAGCCAGGAUGGUC
rnacentral:lncRNA from 1 species